AGUAAAAUAGUUUAAAGAAAACUAUAAUUUGUAAAAUUAUAAAUAACAUAUAAGUUUUUUACUA
rnacentral:tRNA from 1 species